UACGGGGGGGGCAAGCGUUGUUCGGAAUUACUGGGCGUAAAGCGUGCGUAGGCGGUUUGCCGUGUCCUGUGUGAAAGCCCCGGGCUCAACCUGGGAAUUGCAUGGGAGACUGGCAGGCUUGAGUGUGGCAGAGGAGGGUGGAAUUCCGCGUGUAGCAGUGAAAUGCGUAGAGAUGCGGAGGAACACCGAUGGCGAAGGCAGCCCUCUGGGACAACACUGACGCUCAGGCACGAAAGCGUGGGGAGCAAACAGG
rnacentral:rRNA from 1 species